rnacentral:lncRNA from 1 species
UUUAUGUGCCUAGUCAAACUACCCGUGCCGCUACGGUCUCCAGUAAAUUUAUGAAUCAGUAAUUUCCCACAAGUUUUACACUUAGCCUUAUUUAGUUCUCUUAGUUGAGUAAAAAAAUUCCAAACAAAUGAUGUUUCUUGACGUUUAGCAGGUUGUCUAUUAAAAGUUGGAGUUUCUAUAGGUGGGUCGGCCGGUGCAUUACUUGAGUUAUGUUUCUGGACGUUUAGCAGGUUGUCUACUAAAAGUUGGAGUUUCUACAAGUGGGUAGGCCGGUGCAUUACUUGAGUUAUGAACAGAACUAGUAGGUGUAUCAUCUAAAUCUGGUGCUUGGG